GGUUAAGCGACUAAGCGUACACGGUGGAUGCCCUGGCAGUCAGAGGCGAUGAAGGACGUGCUAAUCUGCGAUAAGCGUCGGUAAGGUGAUAUGAACCGUUAUAACCGGCGAUUUCCGAAUGGGGAAACCCAGUGUGUUUCGACACACUAUCAUUAACUGAAUCCAUAGGUUAAUGAGGCGAACCGGGGGAACUGAAACAUCUAAGUACCCCGAGGAAAAGAAAUCAACCGAGAUUCCCCCAGUAGCGGCGAGCGAACGGGGAGCAGCCCAGAGCCUGAAUCAGUGUGUGUGUUAGUGGAAGCGUCUGGAAAGGCGCGCGAUACAGGGUGACAGCCCCGUACACAAAAAUGCACAUACUGUGAGCUCGAUGAGUAGGGCGGGACACGUGGUAUCCUGUCUGAAUAUGGGGGGACCAUCCUCCAAGGCUAAAUACUCCUGACUGACCGAUAGUGAACCAGUACCGUGAGGGAAAGGCGAAAAGAACCCCGGCGAGGGGAGUGAAAAAGAACCUGAAACCGUGUACGUACAAGCAGUGGGAGCCUCUUAAUGGGGUGACUGCGUACCUUUUGUAUAAUGGGUCAGCGACUUAUAUUCUGUAGCAAGGUUAACCGAAUAGGGGAGCCGAAGGGAAACCGAGUCUUAACUGGGCGUUAAGUUGCAGGGUAUAGACCCGAAACCCGGUGAUCUAGCCAUGGGCAGGUUGAAGGUUGGGUAACACUAACUGGAGGACCGAACCGACUAAUGUUGAAAAAUUAGCGGAUGACUUGUGGCUGGGGGUGAAAGGCCAAUCAAACCGGGAGAUAGCUGGUUCUCCCCGAAAGCUAUUUAGGUAGCGCCUCGUGAAUUCAUCUCCGGGGGUAGAGCACUGUUUCGGCAAGGGGGUCAUCCCGACUUACCAACCCGAUGCAAACUGCGAAUACCGGAGAAUGUUAUCACGGGAGACACACGGCGGGUGCUAACGUCCGUCGUGAAGAGGGAAACAACCCAGACCGCCAGCUAAGGUCCCAAAGUCAUGGUUAAGUGGGAAACGAUGUGGGAAGGCCCAGACAGCCAGGAUGUUGGCUUAGAAGCAGCCAUCAUUUAAAGAAAGCGUAAUAGCUCACUGGUCGAGUCGGCCUGCGCGGAAGAUGUAACGGGGCUAAACCAUGCACCGAAGCUGCGGCAGCGACACUAUGUGUUGUUGGGUAGGGGAGCGUUCUGUAAGCCUGUGAAGGUGUACUGUGAGGUAUGCUGGAGGUAUCAGAAGUGCGAAUGCUGACAUAAGUAACGAUAAAGCGGGUGAAAAGCCCGCUCGCCGGAAGACCAAGGGUUCCUGUCCAACGUUAAUCGGGGCAGGGUGAGUCGACCCCUAAGGCGAGGCCGAAAGGCGUAGUCGAUGGGAAACAGGUUAAUAUUCCUGUACUUGGUGUUACUGCGAAGGGGGGACGGAGAAGGCUAUGUUGGCCGGGCGACGGUUGUCCCGGUUUAAGCGUGUAGGCUGGUUUUCCAGGCAAAUCCGGAAAAUCAAGGCUGAGGCGUGAUGACGAGGCACUACGGUGCUGAAGCAACAAAUGCCCUGCUUCCAGGAAAAGCCUCUAAGCAUCAGGUAACAUCAAAUCGUACCCCAAACCGACACAGGUGGUCAGGUAGAGAAUACCAAGGCGCUUGAGAGAACUCGGGUGAAGGAACUAGGCAAAAUGGUGCCGUAACUUCGGGAGAAGGCACGCUGAUAUGUAGGUGAAGUCCCUUGCGGAUGGAGCUGAAAUCAGUCGAAGAUACCAGCUGGCUGCAACUGUUUAUUAAAAACACAGCACUGUGCAAACACGAAAGUGGACGUAUACGGUGUGACGCCUGCCCGGUGCCGGAAGGUUAAUUGAUGGGGUUAGCGGUAACGCGAAGCUCUUGAUCGAAGCCCCGGUAAACGGCGGCCGUAACUAUAACGGUCCUAAGGUAGCGAAAUUCCUUGUCGGGUAAGUUCCGACCUGCACGAAUGGCGUAAUGAUGGCCAGGCUGUCUCCACCCGAGACUCAGUGAAAUUGAACUCGCUGUGAAGAUGCAGUGUACCCGCGGCAAGACGGAAAGACCCCGUGAACCUUUACUAUAGCUUGACACUGAACAUUGAGCCUUGAUGUGUAGGAUAGGUGGGAGGCUUUGAAGUGUGGACGCCAGUCUGCAUGGAGCCGGCCUUGAAAUACCACCCUUUAAUGUUUGAUGUUCUAACGUUGGCCCCUGAUCGGGGUUGCGGACAGUGUCUGGUGGGUAGUUUGACUGGGGCGGUCUCCUCCUAAAGAGUAACGGAGGAGCACGAAGGUUGGCUAAUCCUGGUCGGACAUCAGGAGGUUAGUGCAAUGGCAUAAGCCAGCUUGACUGCGAGCGUGACGGCGCGAGCAGGUGCGAAAGCAGGUCAUAGUGAUCCGGUGGUUCUGAAUGGAAGGGCCAUCGCUCAACGGAUAAAAGGUACUCCGGGGAUAACAGGCUGAUACCGCCCAAGAGUUCAUAUCGACGGCGGUGUUUGGCACCUCGAUGUCGGCUCAUCACAUCCUGGGGCUGAAGUAGGUCCCAAGGGUAUGGCUGUUCGCCAUUUAAAGUGGUACGCGAGCUGGGUUUAGAACGUCGUGAGACAGUUCGGUCCCUAUCUGCCGUGGGCGCUGGAGAACUGAGGGGGGCUGCUCCUAGUACGAGAGGACCGGAGUGGACGCAUCACUGGUGUUCGGGUUGUCAUGCCAAUGGCACUGCCCGGUAGCUAAAUGCGGAAGAGAUAAGUGCUGAAAGCAUCUAAGCACGAAACUUGCCCCGAGAUGAGUUCUCCCUGACUCUUUAAGGGUCCUGAAGGAACGUUGAAGACGACGACGUUAAUAGGCCGGGUGUGUAAGCGCAGCGAUGCGUUGAGCUAACCGGUACUAAUGAACCGUGAGGCUUAACCUU
rnacentral:rRNA from 1 species